CUGGUGAUUCGGUCAACGAAAAUUGUUUUAACAUUUUAUCCGGCAAAUUUUAAAUUGAUUUCGUUUGAUCCGGGAGAAUUUUUCACUUGUACUUUUGCAUUGGAUCUCGACGCCAUCUUUUCCGUUUGCAAUUGCAGUUUGCGUGCAGAAACGUGAUUCGGACGAAUAUCCAGCUGUAAUUCCGAUGGAAUAAUGGAGAUAUCUAGUGAAUGUCACGGAUCAGAUAUGCAGUAAUUAUUAAAAGAGAAACAAGGGACCGGUAGCUGAAUUUUCCGACUUAGGAACAACUUACCUCUUCGGAUAUGGCCGCUCAUACAAAUGGAUCGAAACGCGUCUCUUAUUCAUCGACGCCACCAAGACCUUGCUACGUGAAGUGCAUUCAACGUUUUUUUUACUCAAGUCAAGGGCCCUCCGGGAAGUAUCGUCGCGUGAAUGGCGUGGUGGUGGCCGCGACAGAACAAGAAUGUGUAGUAUAGCAGGAGCAUGCACGAAAAAACAAAGACUUCCCAUCAGCCGUAAUGAUACCGAAGAGUUCUGCAAACGUCCAUCUGAUCUAAAGCAACCCAACGGGAUUCCCAUUCCAUGCGAUGAUUACUUCUACCGCCAGUUCAAGUGCACGACAAUCGAAUUUGUAGCGGAGAAACUUCUACCUAGACAACGGAUAUGGUCAUGAUUUAAAUUAUAUUAUUUAUUUACAGAUUUGCAUAUAAUCAUAAUGUUUUCAUGUACUAUAUAAGAAAUAAAACAUUUUUUUUAUA